AGUCUCGUAGCUCAGUGGUUAGAGCAUGGUCCUUAUGAGGCCAGGGUCGCGGGUUCGAUACCCGUCGGGACUA
rfam:Tritrichomonas foetus strain K scaffold_493, whole genome shotgun sequence.